UCACCUCUCCCAAGCUGCCAGAUUAUUUCCGCCUACACCGUGUGCCUCCAACCAACGAGCUCCAGCGCCUCACCACCCAGCCUCUCAUUCAAGCCUCACCAGCCUUCACCAGCCUCACUUCAAUAAAUACCCCUUUACCCAC